AGGUCAAGCUACAAAGGGCUCACGGUGGAUACCUAGGCACAAGAAGGCGAUGAAGGACGUGGUUACCUACGAUAAGCUGCGGGGAGCUGGAAGCAAGCCCUGAUCCGCAGGUUUCCGAAUGGGGCAACCCUAUAUACUGCCCGUUGAAUAAAAUAGACGGGAAAGAGCGAACUCAGCGAAUUGAAACAUCUUAGUAGCUGAAGGAAGAGAAAAUAAAUAAUGAUUUCCUAAGUAGCGGCGAGCGAACGGGAACCAGCCCAAACCAGUUGGCAUGACCGACUGGGGUUAUAGGACAGCAACACUGUACAACAGAGACUAGAUGAAGUGUUUGGAAUGACACGCCAAAGAGAGUGAAAGCCUCGUAAUUAAAAAUCAAAGUUGGCAAGCUGUAUCCUGAGUAGCACGGUACACGAGAAAUUCCGUGUGAAUUCGCGAGGACCACCUCGUAAGGCUAAAUACUCACUUGUGACCGAUAGUGAACCAGUACCGCGAGGGAAAGGUGAAAAGAACCCCGGAAGGGGAGUGAAAUAGAACAUGAAACCGUGAGCUUACAAGCAAUGGGAGGACGAUUUAACGUCUGACCGUGUGCCUGUUGAAGAAUGAGCCGGCGACUUAUAGGCAGUGGCAGGUUAAGGGGAAAAUCCCGAAGCCAAAGCGAAAGCGAGUUUGAUAAGAGCGAUAGUCACUGUUUAUAGACCCGAAC
rnacentral:rRNA from 1 species